GGGUGCUAACCCGUCACACUGUGCAGAACAUUUAUUGUUUUGUGCUUGAGUUCAUCCUUUGUGAGUCAUUUCUGCAACUAUGGAACUUUGAUCAUCUGGACAGAAUUGCAUUGAAGAAGUUCAAUAUCAAUCAGAAUGAUCUUCAAUUUGUUUCUGUUGUCCUUGGAUUUCUUCUGAUGAGCUGAGAGCAACUUGGGUUUGAUCCCACCAUCAUUGUGAUCAGAAUCAAAUGGUAUAUUGAGAUUGAGAAAGACAGUAUGAGGGAACAGCUGAUCAUUGACAGAAUUGUUGAGCAAGCACACUGUGUCACUGGGCAAGCCACAACCUGCUGGAAGGCAUACUGUGAGACAGACAAAUCACAUUCACCACUAGUUGUCAAGAACUCCUGGCAGUAUUCAGAACAUAUCAAGAAAGAAGAAUUGUUGCAAGAAGCAAUGAUGAAAGAGGUCAAGAAUGUUGCAAGAUACUAUCACCACAAAACCAUUCACAUUGACAGCAAGGAUGAUGAUGUCUUGGCUAUCCGAAAGGGCCUCAAUAUUCCGACGAAAGAUGGGAAGGGUGGCUUUAAGGCAACAGUGCAGUGUAGUAGGUCUCAAAGAAAACAAAAGAACCAG
rnacentral:sRNA from 1 species